AGCUUUGUGCAGUGACAGUAUCAUAGCCAAUGAGGUUUAUUUGAGGUGCGAUUAUUGCUAAUUGAAAAAAAAGUAAUAUAUUUCCCACCUACUAAUAUUAUUUCUCUCUUGAGGAAAUUAUACACUGUGUUUUUAUGU